rnacentral:lncRNA from 1 species
AUGCAUCAAUACAAACACACCACACUCACUUUUACAGCCGAACACCCCUAUUUUCCCCUAUCAUUUUUCUUUCAAACUUCCAUUUCACACUAAAAAUACACUUGAACUUCCCUAGGUGUUGAGAUAUUAGGAGGAUUGGAGCAAUAUCUCAACACAUAAACUUCUAUAUCUAUUUUCAAGAAGUAAUCUUCCCUAGUUUAAGACUAGUGGUAUGUAUCUUGUCGGGAAUUAUUUUGGACAUUUGGUUUUGCUAGCAUACGCACGGAACGCAGUUUGUAAGUGAAAUUUGGUUCGUGGCUUUAAGAAGUUGCAUGCAUCAUGGACGAUACCUUUUGGGGGUUUUGCCUUGUAUAUUUCAACGUAUCGGAAAUAUACUUGACAAAUCCUAGGAACUUUAUAAACAAUAUAACUUUUGGUCGUAUGUGUUUUUGAAACUGGAAGUUGUGUAAAC